GUUCAACGGCCGCGGUAUCCUAACCGUGCAAAGGUAGCGUAAUCACUUGUUCUUUAAAUGAGGACUAGUAUGAAUGGCACCACGAGGGUUGUACUGUCUCCUCUCUCUAAUCAGUGAAACUAAUCUCCCCGUGAAGAAGCGGGAAUCUACAUAUAAGACGAGAAGACCCUAUGGAGCUUUAAACUUUCAACAAUUGCCCAAAUAAUCUUAAUUUCAGAAAACAAACCUUAAUUCAGCACCUUGAUUUUUAAGUUUUCGAUUGGGGUGAUCACGGAGCAAAACUUAACCUCCGCACUGAAAGGCCCCAAGCCUUAUCUAUGAGUCACAGCUCUAUGCACCAACAAUUUGACACCUAUUGACCCAAUAUAUUGAUCAAUGAACCAAGUUACCCUAGGGAUAACAGCGCAAUCCACUUCAAGAGCCCCUAUCGACAAGUGGGUUUACGACCUCGAUGUUGGAUCAGGGUCCCCCAGUGGUGCAGCCGCUACUAAAGGUUCGUUUGUUCAACGAUUAAAACCC
rnacentral:rRNA from 1 species